rnacentral:rRNA from 1 species
UACGUAGGGGGCAAGCGUUAUCCAGAUUUACUGGGCGUAAAGCGCGUGUAGGCGGCUGGUUAGGUGUGAUGUGAAAUCUUCCGGCUCAACCGGAAAACUGCAUUGCAAACCGGCCUGGCUAGAGUGCAGGAGAGGGAAGCGGAAUUCCAGGUGUAGCGGUGAAAUGCGUAGAUAUCUGGAGGAACACCAGUGGCGGAGGCGGCUUCCUGGCCUGCAACUGACGCUGAGACGCGAAAGCGUGGGGAGCGAACCGG